CCUACGGGUGGCAGCAGUGAGGAAUAUUGGUCAAUGGCCGAAAGCCUGAACCAGCCAAGUCGCGUGAAGGAUGAAGGAUCUAUGGUUUGUAAACUUCUUUUAUAUGGGAAUAAAGUGAUCCACGUGUUGAUUUUUGUAUGUACCCUAUGAAUAAGCAUCGGCUAACUCCGUGCCAGCAGCCGCGGUAAUACGGAGGAUGCGAGCGUUAUCCGGAUUUAUUGGGUUUAAAGGGUGCGUAGGUUGUUUAUUAAGUCAGCGGUGAAAGUUUGUGGCUCAACCAUAAAAUUGCCGUUGAAACUGGAUGACUUGAGUGUAUUUGAGGUAGGCGGAAUGCGUGGUGUAGCGGUGAAAUGCAUAGAUAUCACGCAGAACUCCGAUUGCGAAGGCAGCUUACUAAGCUAUAACUGACACUGAAGCACGAAAGCGUGGGGAUCAAACAGGAUUAGAUACCCGAGUAGUC
rnacentral:rRNA from 1 species